AGAAGGGCUGAGAUUCACAGCAAGCUCACGUGUCUAGGAUAGUGAAGGUCCCUCCAGGAAGAGAACUGGAUGUGACAUUGUUCCCAAGAAAUGAUCCAAGAGAACCCAUGAGGUACUUUCCCUAAGUACCAGUCCAAAAGACACCUGUGUGCCUAUACACCAUUGAGCUUUCCCAAACAAAAUGAGGGGUGGCCUCUGUGACCCCCACAAGAGGGGUCACCGUCAUGAUUAUGGGUAUACCCAGUUCUGAAGGCAGCAGAGACCAUGACAAUGGGCUAGGUUUCAAAACUAGUAGAAAGUCAGCAGGGAUUCUUUUAAGGAUGAACCAAGCAAGUCUCCACAGGACACAAGGAUAUAUCCUGAAACCAAAAGUCCCAGGCAAAAACCUUCAAACACAAGGAUUCUGGCAUCAGGAACCUCUUGAGUUGCUGUUUAUGGAAGUUCAAGAGAUUCCCCCCAAACAAUAUAAGUGACCUUGGAAACCAUGUACUUCUGCUAUUGGCUGUCCCGUUCAGGCUGUCCUGUUCACUGUGCAGGGAACCAUCCAAGGGACUGCAUGCCAAGGACUGGGGAUCCCUGGAAAUCAUUUGAAGAGUCACUACCUUUUCUGAAACUUGGAAGGAAAAACAUGAUGAAUAAGCCCACGAUGAUUUGGUGCGUUUAAUGUUUUGUUUUGUUUUUUCAACUCUCCAUGUUGUGUUGACUUAUCCCAGGGCAUCAUUAUCAACCAAAGACCUGCAAUAAACCAGCCAUUCUC
rnacentral:lncRNA from 1 species